rnacentral:rRNA from 1 species
UACAGAGGGUGCGAGCGUUGUCCGGAAUCACUGGGCGUAAAGGGCGCGUAGGUGGCGGGCCAAGUCCAUGGUGAAAGCUCGAUGCUCAACAUCGAGUCGGCCACGGAUACUGGGUUCGCUGGAGCACUGUAGAGGCAGAUGGAAUUCCGGGUGUAGCGGUGGAAUGCGUAGAGAUCCGGAAGAACACCGGUGGCGAAGGCGCCCGCUGGGCAGGAAGGCCUCGUAAGGAGGCCGGCUGACGCUGAGGCGCGCAGCGUGGGGAGCAAACAGG